GAGCUCACUUUGGCAGCACGUAUACUAAAAUUGGAAUGAUACAGAGAAGAUCAGCAUAGCCCCUGUGCAAGAAUGAAAUGCAAAUUCAUGAAAUGGUGCAUAUUUUU
rnacentral:snRNA from 1 species